rnacentral:rRNA from 1 species
AUUGAACGCUGGCGGCAGGCCUAACACAUGCAAGUCGAACGAGUGGCGGACGGGUGAGUAAUGUCUGGGAAACUGCCCGAUGGAGGGGGAUAACUACUGGACACUGUAGCCAAUACCGCAUACCUGCGCCUGUGCCCAGAUGGGUUUAGCUAGUAGGUGGGGUAAUGGCUCACCUAGGCGACGAUCCCUAGCUGGUCUGAGAGGAUGACCAGCCACACUGGAACUGAGACACGGUCCAGACUCCUACGGGAGGCAGCAGUGGGGAAUAUUGCACAAUGGGCGCAAGCCUGAUGCAGCCAUGCCGCGUGUAUGAAGAAGGCCUUCGGGUUGUAAAGUACUUUCAGCUGGGAGGCGUUACCCGCAGAAGAAGCACCGGCUAACUCCGUGCCAGCAGCCGCGGUAAUUC